rnacentral:rRNA from 1 species
AGAGCAAACGCUGGCGGCGUGCCUAAUACAUGCAAGUCAAACGGGUUAGCAAUAACUAGUGGCGCACGGGUGAGAAACGCGUGGGUAAUCUUCCUUCGAGUGUGGAAUAACGAGUCGAAAGAUUCGCUAAUACCGCAUAAGACCACAGGAACUGAGGUUCUAGAGGUCAAAGGCGCAAGCCGCUUGAAGAUGAGCCCGCGUCGGAUUAGCUAGUUGGUGAGGUAAUGGCUCACCAAGGCUGUGAUCCGUAGCUGGUCUGAGAGGAUGAUCAGCCACACUGGAACUGAGACACGGUCCAGACUCCUACGGGAGGCAGCAGUAGGGAAUAUUGCGCAAUGGGGGAAACCCUGACGCAGCGACGCCGCGUGAGUGAUGAAGGCCUUCGGGUCGUAAGCUCUGUUGCGAGGGAAUAAAAAUAGAAUGUACCCUGUGAGGAAGGAGUCGGCUACUUCGCGCCAGCAGCCGCGGU